rnacentral:misc_RNA from 1 species
AAUUAAAUGUCUUGUAAGGACCAUGUGGUGGCUCCCAAGAGGCGAAGUCCAGCAAGGUGUCCUCCUGGCUCGAGGACUGCACAGCCGAUCUAUAAGCAUUAUAUACAGGGUCAUCAGAAGCCUGAUAUGUAAGAAUUUUUGAGGAGAUCCUCUCAUAUUCCACGCACUGGAGGUAUUCGUUAACAACACCUUCCAAAGAAGAUGCAACAUUUUUGAAAUUUUUCACAACCAAUUUGUGCAGAUCCUCCCCUGCCCAAAUGGGUAAUAUACAUAUAUUCACUAGUAAGCACAUGCAAGCACCAACGCCAAUAAGUAGUAAUCGAUAAAAGGCCGUUUGGAAAAAUGACGAUGUACUUCCAGAUACCAACACGAUGCAAAAUGUCAACAGAAAUACCCGGAACCCGUAUUCAUACGUCUUCAUCGGCGGAUACAAUUUGCAAUAGCUUGCGAAAAAUCCUGCAAGGAAUAUACUUAUUACGAUUAUAACUUCUUUGAACGCCCCGGCUGAGACAGAUAGCUCUGCAAUACCAAGGGCAAGUCCACCUG